UGACCUUCUGUAUGUACGUCCUUCCAUACCUUCCAAAGUUGGUUACUGUUCUCUAACUUCAGUUUGCCUCAACCAAAUGUUAUGAAACAACUGAUACACAAUGCUUAUUACCACAAAAGAUAGAUCAAGUUUGAAUUUUGGUGGCGUCAUGAAUUUUAACCGUUCUAGAGUUAUGCCCCUUUACAAACAAACAAAAAUGCUGAC
rnacentral:lncRNA from 1 species